rnacentral:rRNA from 1 species
AUACGAAGGGGGCUAGCGUUGUUCGGAAUCACUGGGCGUAAAGCGCGCGUAGGUGGAUCAAUUAGUUGAGGGUGAAAUCCCGGGGCUCAACCUCGGAACUGCCUUCAAUACUGUUGAUCUUGAGACCGAGAGAGGUGAGUGGAAUUCCUAGUGUAGAGGUGAAAUUCGUAGAUAUUAGGAAGAACACCAGUGGCGAAGGCGGCUCACUGGCUCGGUACUGACGCUGAGGUGCGAAAGCGUGGGGAGCAAACAGGAUUAGAAACCCGAGUAGUCC